rnacentral:rRNA from 1 species
GUUCACAUCGACGGGGAGGUUUGGCACCUCGAUGUCGGCUCAUCGCAUCCUGGGGCUGUAGUCGGUCCCAAGGGUUGGGCUGUUCGCCCAUUAAAGCGGUACGCGAGCUGGGUUCAGAACGUCGUGAGACAGUUCGGUCCCUAUCCGUCGUGGGCGUAGGAAAUUUGAGAGGAGCUGUCCUUAGUACGAGAGGACCGGGAUGGACAUACCUCUGGUGUACCAGUUGUCGUGCCAACGGCAUAGCUGGGUAGCUAUGUGUGGACGGGAUAAGUGCUGAAAGCAUCUAAGCAUGAAGCCCCCCUCAAGAUGAGAUUUCCCAACUUCGGUUAUAAGAUCCCUCAAAGAUGAUGAGGUUAAUAGGUUCGAGGUGGAAGCAUGGUGACAUGUGGAGCUGACGAAUACUAAUCGAUCGAAGACUUAAUCAAAUU